rnacentral:sRNA from 1 species
UUAAACCUAAACCCUAAACCCUAAACCAUAGAUCCCAAACUUUAAAACCUAAAUUAUACUUUAACCUUCCGGAAUCCGGUUGCGGUUCUAGUUCUUAUGCCUAAUGAUACACAAACCAUCUUGUCAUAUUUUACUACAAAUCCGCUAACCAAGCUUCUUCUUGAUUCUCAAAGCUUUGAUGGUGAAGCCGAAGUUCUUAUGAGUGUUU